UACGUAGGGUGCAAGCGUUGUCCGGAAUUAUUGGGCGUAAAGGGCUCGUAGGCGGUCCAUCGCGUCGGGAGUGAAAAGCUGGGGCUUAACCCCAGUCCUGCUUCCGAUACGGGUGGACUAGAGGUAGGUAGGGGAGACGGAAUUCCUGGUGUAGCGGUGAAAUGCGCAGAUAUCAGGAGGAACACCGGUGGCGAAGGCGGUUCUCUGGGCCUUACCUGACGCUGAGGAGCGAAAGCAUGGGGAGCAAACAGG
rnacentral:rRNA from 1 species